UACGGAGGGUGCAAGCGUUAUCCGGAUUUACUGGGUUUAAAGGGUGUGUAGGCGGGCUUUUAAGUCAGUGGUGAAAUCUCCGGGCUCAACCUGGAAACUGCCAUUGAUACUAUUAGUCUUGAAUUCUGUUGAGGUAGGCGGAAUAAGUCAUGUAGCGGUGAAAUGCUUAGAUAUGACUUAGAACACCAAUUGCGAAGGCAGCUUACUAAAACAGAUAUUGACGCUGAGGCACGAAAAGCGUGGGGAUCAAACAGG
rnacentral:rRNA from 1 species